rnacentral:rRNA from 1 species
GUCGAGCGAACAGAUAAGGAGCUUGCUCCUUUGACGUUAGCGGCGGACGGGUGAGUAACACGUGGGUAACCUACCUAUAAGACUGGGAUAACUUCGGGAAACCGGAGCUAAUACCGGAUAACAUUUGGAACCGCAUGGUUCUAAAGUGAAAGAUGGUUUUGCUAUCACUUAUAGAUGGACCCGCGCCGUAUUAGCUAGUUGGUAAGGUAACGGCUUACCAAGGCGACGAUACGUAGCCGACCUGAGAGGGUGAUCGGCCACACUGGAACUGAGACACGGUCCAGACUCCUACGGGAGGCAGCAGUAGGGAAUCUUCCGCAAUGGGCGAAAGCCUGACGGAGCAACGCCGCGUGAGUGAUGAAGGGUUUCGGCUCGUAAAACUCUGUUAUUAGGGAAGAACAAAUGUGUAAGUAACUGUGCACGUCUUGACGGUACCUAAUCAGAAAGCCACGGCUAACUACGUGCCAGCAGCCGCGGUAAUACGUAGGUGGCAAGCGUUAUCCGGAAUUAUUGGGCGUAAAGCGCGCGUAGGCGGUUUCUUAAGUCUGAUGUGAAAGCCCACGGCUCAACCGUGGAGGGUCAUUGGAAACUGGGAAACUUGAGUGCAGAAGAGGAAAGUGGAAUUCCAUGUGUAGCGGUGAAAUGCGCAGAGAUAUGGAGGAACACCAGUGGCGAAGGCGACUUUCUGGUCUGUAACUGACGCUGAUGUGCGAAAGCGUGGGGAUCAAACAGGAUUAGAUACCCUGGUAGUCCACGCCGUAAACGAUGAGUGCUAAGUGUUAGGGGGUUUCCGCCCCUUAGUGCUGCAGCUAACGCAUUAAGCACUCCGCCUGGGGAGUACGACCGCAAGGUUGAAACUCAAAGGAAUUGACGGGGACCCGCACAAGCGGUGGAGCAUGUGGUUUAAUUCGAAGCAACGCGAAGAACCUUACCAAAUCUUGACAUCCUUUGAAAACUCUAGAGAUAGAGCCUUCCCCUUCGGGGGACAAAGUGACAGGUGGUGCAUGGUUGUCGUCAGCUCGUGUCGUGAGAUGUUGGGUUAAGUCCCGCAACGAGCGCAACCCUUAAGCUUAGUUGCCAUCAUUAAGUUGGGCACUCUAGGUUGACUGCCGGUGACAAACCGGAGGAAGGUGGGGAUGACGUCAAAUCAUCAUGCCCCUUAUGAUUUGGGCUACACACGUGCUACAAUGGACAAUACAAAGGGCAGCUAAACCGCGAGGUCAUGCAAAUCCCAUAAAGUUGUUCUCAGUUCGGAUUGUAGUCUGCAACUCGACUACAUGAAGCUGGAAUCGCUAGUAAUCGUAGAUCAGCAUGCUACGGUGAAUACGUUCCCGGGUCUUGUACACACCGCCCGUCACACCACGAGAGUUUGUAACACCCGAAGCCGGUGGAGUAACCAUUUAUGGAGCUAGCCGUCGAAGGUGGGACAAAUGA